CAGGAAAGGAUUCUUUACUCUAAACCCUAAAUAUCGCUAGAAAAUUUUAGGCAAAAAAAAGAUUGGGGAAUAAGAUGUUGAAUUUCGAAGAACAGUGUAACAUAUUGAACUUGUUGAAAUCGUCAUCUGAGCAAAAAUCAAUCGAAGAAACAGUCAAUGAAUUCUUCAGCAAUUCCAAGCUCCGUCAUUUCAAUGUCUGCUAUUCUCUUUCUUUUUUAUUGCAGGUGAUACACUUGGUUCUUUUGUAUAUGUUCCAUGUGAAGUGAUUAAGCAACACAUGCAGGUUCAAGGCUCAGGAAACUCUUGGAAUUCGGCUAUCAUGAAUGACCAAUUGCGAAUGAAAUCUGGUGAACAAAUGUAUGGUUAUUACACUGGAAUGUUCCAAGUUGGAUGUUCAAUAUGGAAAGAAGUCAAGGUCGUCGAUUCUUGGUGAGCCGUUAUUACAAAAGGUUAAAGAGAGCUGCACUCGUCGCACAAUGUGCUUGGAGAGCAAAACUUGCGCGUAGAGAAUUACGCAAACUAAAAAUGGCUGCCCAGAAAACCGAAUCCCUGCUACAGGCCAACUGGAAAAGCAAGUUGAAGAACUUACAUGGCAGUUGCAGAAGUUGCAACGUGAGAAGGAAAAUUGGGGCACAAACAAAACUUUUGGACAAGUUCCUGUCACUCAAGGGGUCACGGUAGUUAACAACGAAACGAUGAAUAAACUUACUGCUGAAAAUGAACAGCUUAAGGCUCAGGUAGCUACACUAGAACAGAUUUGCGAAGUGCGGCUAAAGCAGGCUACAGAGGCUGAGAUGAGGAUAAUUGACUUAAAAACUGCGAUGCAAAGAAGACAAGAUUUCAGACAUGGAAACCGAGGAUAAGGUUUUGAGACAGCAAGCUUUGCUGAGUGCACCUAGUAGAAAAAUGUCAUCUCAAUUGUCAUUUACAACACCUGCAUUAAGCUAUGUUUAAACUCGAUGUUCAUAUCUUUCUUGAGUUGGUUUGUUGAUUGUGAUUAUUUUUCACUGCUUAUUUUUCUUUGUUGGUCCUUUAUUUCACUUUGCAGUCUGUGCAAAAUGCUCCUCAAGUAAGUGAAGAUUGAAUAGACUGGAUAAUUAACUCUACUUCAGUUGAAUUCUGGUCCAUCAAUUAGGUUCGGUAGAGAAGAUAGUAAAAUGAGGAGAUCCAAGACUGAAGUGCCACAAGUAUGAAUCCAGACGAUAUGGAACUCAUUUUUACAUUCCUACUUUUGUUUUCAAGAUUUUGUGGUGGAUGGAAUUUCCGGGGAUUAAUUUUUGAUGUAUGUAUCACCUAGACUAAAUUAUAGAGAACAAUGUCAAAUUACAUUACAUUUAAUUUUAAUGUUUAUAAAUUUUAAUCUA